GAUGAAGAACGUAGCGAAAUGCGAUAAGUAAUGUGAAUUGCAGAAUUCAGUGAAUCAUCGAAUCUUUGAACGCACAUUGCGCCCGCCAGUAUUCUGGCGGGCAUGCCUGUUCGAGCGUCAUUUCAACCAUCAAGCCCCCGGCUUGUGUUGGGGACCUGCGGCUGCCGCAGGCCCUGAGAAGCAGUGGCGGGCUCGCUGUCACACCGAGCGUAGUAGCAUACAUCUCGCUCUGGGCGUGCUGCGGGUUCCGGCCGUUAAACCACCUUCAUAACCCAAGGUUGACCUCGGAUCAGGUAGGAAGACCCGCUGAACUUAAGCAUAUCAAUAAGCGGAGGA
rnacentral:misc_RNA from 1 species